rnacentral:miRNA from 1 species
GAGGUGGGAGGAUUGCUUGAGAUCAGGAGGUGGAGGUUGCAGUGAGUGGAGAUUGUGCCACUGUACUCCAGCCUGAGUGACAGAGCAAGACCCUGUCUCA